GGAGUGUGCGCAUAGCGGGGGGCCUGAAGAAAUGGCUCCUGUGUUUGCAACACACCCAACAGGAACCUGGGUUCAUUGUGACAAGGGGCAUGAAUCUUGCGGCCUUCCGACGAACAGAUACCCGACACGU
ensembl:snoRNA